AUUGAACGCUGGCGGCAUGCCUUACACAUGCAAGUCGAACGGUAACAGGCCGCAAGGUGCUGACGAGUGGCGAACGGGUGAGUAAUGCAUCGGAACGUGCCCAGUCGUGGGGGAUAACUGCUCGAAAGAGCAGCUAAUACCGCAUACGACCUGAGGGUGAAAGCGGGGGACCGAAAGGCCUCGCGCGAUUGGAGCGGCCGAUGUCAGAUUAGGUAGUUGGUGGGGGAAAGGCCUACCAAGCCGACGAUCUGUAGUUGGUCUGAGAGGACGACCAGCCACACUGGGACUGAGAGACGGCCCAGACUCCUACGGGAGGCAGCAGUGGGGAAUUUUGGACAAUGGGGGCAACCCUGAUCCAGCACUGCCGCGUGUAGGAAGAAGGCCUUCGGGUUGUAAACUGCUUUGGUCAGGUAAGAAAUCCUGUGGGUUAAUACCUCGUGGGGAUGACGGUACCUGAAGAAUAAGCACCGGCUAACUACGUGCCAGCAGCCGCGGUAAUAC
rnacentral:rRNA from 1 species